rnacentral:rRNA from 1 species
AUGGAGCCGACCUUGAAAUACCACCCUUUAAUGUUUGAUGUUCUAACGUUGACCCGUAAUCCGGGUUGCGGACAGUGUCUGGUGGGUAGUUUGACUGGGGCGGUCUCCUCCUAAAGAGUAACGGAGGAGCACGAAGGUUGGCUAAUCCUGGUCGGACAUCAGGAGGUUAGUGCAAUGGCAUAAGCCAGCUUGACUGCGAGCGUGACGGCGCGAGCAGGUGCGAAAGCAGGUCAUAGUGAUCCGGUGGUUCUGAAUGGAAGGGCCAUCGCUCAACGGAUAAAAGGUACUCCGGGGAUAACAGGCUGAUACCGCCCAAGAGUUCAUAUCGACGGCGGUGUUUGGCACCUCGAUGUCGGCUCAUCACAUCCUGGGGCUGAAGUAGGUCCCAAGGGUAUGGCUGUUCGCCAUUUAAAGUGGUACGCGAGCUGGGUUUAGAACGUCGUGAGACAGUUCGGUCCCUAUCUGCCGUGGGCGCUGGAGAACUGAGGGGGGCUGCUCCUAGUACGAGAGGACCGGAGUGGACGCAUCACUGGUGUUCGGGUUGUCAUGCCAAUGGCACUGCCCGGUAGCUAAAUGCGGAAGAGAUAAGUGCUGAAAGCAUCUAAGCACGAAACUUGCCCCGAGAUGAGUUCUCCCUGACUCCUUGAGAG